CUGGGUACCGACAGCAACCAAACUCCGAAUACCCGUGAUGCGUAUCCCGGCAGUGAGUCGGCGGGGGAUAAGCUCCGUCGUCGAGAGGGAGACAGCCCAGACCGUCGUCUAAGGUCCCCAAGCGCGUGCUAAGUGGGAAAGGAUGUGGAGUCGCAUAGACAGCCAGGAGGUUGGCUCAGAAGCAGCCACCCUUGAAAGAGUGCGUAACAGCUCACUGGUCUAGUGGUUCCGCGCCGACAAUGUAGCGGGGCUCAAGCACGCCACCGAAGACGCGGCAGUAGUUUUCUACUGGGUAGGAGAGCGUCCCACGAGGGUCGAAGCGGCGGUGUAAGCCGGCCGUGGACUUCGUGGGAGUGAGAAUGCAGACAUGAGUAGCGAGAGACGGGUGAAGAUCCCGUCCGCCGGAUGACCAAGGGUUCCAGGGCCACGUUCAUCGUCCCUGGGUGAGUCGGGUCCUAAGGCGAGGCCGACAGGCGUAGUCGAAUGGAUGAACGGGUCGAUAUUCCCGUACCGGCAGGCGACCGAAAAGACCGAGGCCGUGAGUACUAACCUCCGGUUGGCCGUGAUGUUCCCUUCGGGGUUCGGAUCGGUCCUCAGUUGGGAGCGUAGCGGUAGUAGGUGAGCGCAGGAGUGACACGGAAGGGCAGCCGGCCCGGGAGGUGGUUUUCCCGGGCCAAGCACGCAGCCCGCCCCCCAGGCAAAUCCGGGGGGCGCGAGGGUGAGGUGCGACGGGACGCGCGUUGAGCGUGGAUCCGGUGAUCCCGGCCGUCGAGAAAAGCUUCGGCGUGAGGGCGUCUGGCGCCCGUACCCCAAACCGACACUGGUGGUCAGGUAGAGAAUACCAAGGCGAUCGAGCGAAUCCUGGUCAAGGAACUCGGCAAAUCACUCCCGUUCCUUCGGUUUAAGGGAGACCCCCUUGCGUGAAGCGGCUUGCCCGUGGAGCGUCGGGGGGUGGCACAGACCAGGGGGUAGCGACUGUUUACCAAAAACACAGGUGCAUGCGAAGACGCAAGUCGCGGUAUAUGCACUGACGCCUGCCCGGUGCCGGAAGGUUAAGAGGAUCCGUCAACCUUUUUGGUGAAGCGGUGAAUUCAAGCCCCGGUAAACGGCGGUGGUAACUAUAACCAUCCUAAGGUAGCGAAAUUCCUUGUCGGGUAAGUUCCGACCUGCACGAAUGGCGUAACGACUUCCCCACUGUCUCGACCAGGAGCUCGGCGAAAUUGCAGUACGAGUAAAGAUGCUCGUUAAGCGCAGAAGGACGAAAAGACCCCGGGACCUUUACUAUACCUUGGUAUUGGCAUUCGGUGUGGAUUGUGUAGCAUAGGCGGGAGACUUUGAUAUCCAGGCGCCAGCCUGGGUGGAGUCGCAAGGUGAAAUACCGCUCUGUUCGCAUUGGAUGUCUCACCACGACCAGUCAUCCUGGUCUGGGACAGUGCCUGGCGGGUAGUUUAACUGGGGCGGUUGCCUCCCAAAGAGUAACGGAGGCGCUCAAAGGUUCCCUCAGCCCGGUUGGCAAUCGGGUGGCGAGUGUAAGUGCACAAGGGAGCUUGACUGCGAGACUGACGGGUCGAGCAGGGACGAAAGUCGGAACUAGUGAUCCGGUGCCGGUGUACGGACGCGGCAUCGCUCAACGGAUAAAAGGUACCCCGGGGAUAACAGGCUGAUCAUUCCCAAGAGUCCAUAUCGACGGGAUGGUUUGGCACCUCGAUGUCGGCUCGUCGCAUCCUGGGGCUGGAGCAGGUCCCAAGGGUUCGGCUGUUCGCCGAUUAAAGCGGCACGCGAGCUGGGUUCAGAACGUCGUGAGACAGUUUGGUCUCUAUCCUCUGCGCUCGUUGGAAUGUUGAGGAGGCCUGCCCAUAGUACGAGAGGACCUGGGUGGACGAACCUCUGGUAUGCCGGUUGUCGCGCCAGCGGCACGGCCGGUUGGCCACGUUCGGAAGGGAUAACCGCUGAAAGCAUCUAAGCGGGAAGCCUGCUCCAAGAUAAGCAUUCCAUAGGAUCCCCGGAUCCUUGAACCCCCCAUGAAGAACACGUGGUCGAUAGGCCGGACGUGGAAGCCCCGCGAGGGGUGGAGCCGACCGGUACUAACGGGGAAAGGCGAAACCUU
rfam:Bifidobacterium saguini DSM 23967 Contig02, whole genome shotgun sequence.